rnacentral:tRNA from 2 species
GCCCCCUUGGUGCAGCCGGUAGCAUGAACGAUUCCGGAGCGUUUGGUCGCGGGUUCAAGUCCCGCAGGGGGCU